UCAACUCCCACACAACUCUGAAGGAAAACCUGCGGGAGUCUCUAGCUUUACAGCCCAUCACUCUGCCAUCUACAUGAAACACAAACUAGUGGUUUAUAUUUGGAUUUGGGAGCAAAGUUCUGCCAUCACCUGGUGACUGUGCAUCUCCAUGAGAAGCAGCUUCGUGACCACUACUGGUUCUUAGUGGAAACUGCUCACUACGUAACAGGACACUAUGUUUCAUGAAAAUCAAGAUGCUCUUCGUGGAUUGGGUCCUAUCUGAUGCAACUAGCCAUAAAUUCUGAGAGACCACACGGAUUCAGAUGACCUGAAAUGUGGGAAUGUCCCGGGCAAUUUUGAGACCUUCAUGACUCUGAGUCAGCAGCUUUAACGAAUAGUUGUGGUAUUAAGUGUGGUGACUGAUUGAGGUUAUCAAGGAAAUCUUGGACAAGUGCCACUCAUGGAAAGGAAGGGUCAAAUGUGAAGAAAAACGUGAUUUCUGACUGAAGACAAUGCAAACAGCUGUACACACCAGGAGCAGUGCUGGGUGCCAGAGAAGCCCCUGUGAGGGACGAGGCCACCUCGACACAGUCAGUCCUGUCAGCUUCCUGGCUUGUCACUGGAGGCAGCCAGAAGGAGCUGGACCCGCUCUCCAGGGCUGCUCCCCUCCGCCCAGCUGCUCCACCUUUACUCCCAAGGAGAGAGCAGCUCCCAGCUUGGACUACUUCCCCACCUUCUGGAACCUGUCUCAGGAACAUGGCCAGAUGCAGAAGGGUA